CUAAGGCUCCAGAGGAAGCCACGGCUAACUCUGUGCCAGCAGCCGCGGUAAUACAGAGGCGGCAAGCGUUGUUCGGAAUUAUUGGGCGUAAAGAGCACGUAGGCGGCCUUGCAAGUCAGUUGUGAAAGCCUUCCGCUUAACGGAAGAAUGCCAGCUGAUACUACAGGGCUUGAGUACGGGAGGGGAGAGUGGAACUUCUGGUGGAGCGGUGAAAUGCGUAGAUAUCAGAAGGAACGCCGGCGGCGAAAGCGACUCACUGGCCCGAAACUGACGCUGAGUGUGCGAAAGCUAGGGGAGCAAACGGGAUUAGAUACCCCGGUAGUCCUAGCCGUAAA
rnacentral:rRNA from 1 species